rnacentral:ncRNA from 1 species
GGUUCGCUGUGAAAGAUCGCAGCUCCCGAAAGAAAUUUCGGGAUGAAAAUCGGGUUAAUUGCCGGGAAGCCUAAAGGUUAAAAGCCUAUGGUAAUCCGCAGCCACUCCCAGAAUUUCUGGGAAGGUUCAGAGACUAAGAAUCCGAUUGCUAAAUCUCUUAUACAAGAGACAAGCAAAUGAGAUAGUCCAAGCCUCAGGAAAACUUGAGG